CUUCUCAAAUUGAUCUGAAAGAUCCACAUUCCCAUAAAAACACAUAGAUAUUAAAUACUUAGAGCUGAAAUAAGUUUAACCAAUAUCAUCAAUUCAAACUCUUCUUCAUUCCGCUUUGGCAUCGUUCAGAAAUAUAUAUAUAUAUAUAUAUAUAACACUUUGUACUUAUCUGUUCACUUUGAGUCACUUCAUAAGCAGUACAACAUGUGGCAAUACUGCCUAUUUGUCCUUCAGGUUCUUCUUCCCCUUUAUUGUUAGAGGUAGGAACAGGAGAGGAGACUGACAAAGGGAAAGAGACUUUUGCCAAGACUUGAUGAGCGGGAACAACUAUGUCAUGGUUAGUCUCAUUUUUCAGAAGGAUGGGGACUUUAAAUGAAGUCUGUCGUGGACUUGACAUGAUGUAACUGCAGAGUAUCACACCGCUUGGUAAACCUUGUUGGCUGACUGGCUCUACUAAGAGUAUAGCGCCUUGCUCUGCAGGGACAUUUCUCACACGACCAUCUAAUAUGGCAUGAAGUUGCCUAAUGAGGGGAACAUGAGUUCAGUCCUCAGGGAUAUUCAUAUGCUCACUGAAGUCUUCAUACAAAAUAUCCAGAGCAUUUGUUCCUAUCAGGACUGGAAUUUCUGAAUUGGCUCUGUUGUCUGGAACAAUUAGAGCUAGGACUUUGACCAGUUUUUCCUCACCUGUGAAACUCUGAGGGAAAGUGAUGUCGAUCUCAAUAUACCCCAGAUAAGGAACGAUUUGACCCGCAGCUCCUUCUACUUCGAGGAGGUUAUCCAAGGAGAAGAGGGGAUAUGAAGACAAGUGAGUCUCCUGGAAGGAUUUGGAGAUGGUGGUAACUUGCGACCCAGAAUCAAUAAGGCAGGUGUGCUUUAUUUCUCCAAUCGAUAAAUCCACAGCAGCUCUUGAGCCAACUAAUCCACCUGGCAGCUGGGCUUGGCGGUUCCCACCAUGUUGACAGUUAUUUUGACAAUGUUCUUUGGGUGUGGGACUCUUUGGAAUAUGUCUGGUUCCAGUAUGUCCCAUUACUCGAACCUGUUCCAGUUUAACGACUGACUGGUGUGCUUACUCUUCCAUUCUUCUUGUUUAGCCUUCAGUUCUUUGUAUUUCCGAUCAACAGCAGCUUUGUUAAUGGGGUUUUCACAGUUCCUUGCUAUGUGCCCAUCUUCGCCACACCUAAAACAGAACCAAGCUUUAGGCUGAGGUCUUUCUGAAAACUGCCAUGCAACUUGCUGAACUUGGCUUUCUGCUGUUGGCAGUUCGUGGUUUUCUUCAGCAGCCUUCUGGGUUUUUUUUUCUGCUUUUUGGAGGGUUUUGUGGAGAGCUGUAAUUGCAACCCAACCACCUGUUUCCUCAACUUCUCAGUCUCAGAGAUGUAUGUCUGUAAAACUUCAGAACCGGGUUCAGGACAAGGAGGUGUCAGGUCAUGAAGUGAGUUGACAUUUGCAAUGGGCUUUGCCUUGGAAGACCCAAAAUGGCGAUGCAUUCUGUCGAGCUUAGAGGAUCGCUUAUCUUCUUCGGUGCGUAUCUGCAACAGGAGUUCAGCAAAGUCAUGCAUAGCUUCUUUGUUUAUUUCUAAUUGCAAGAUCAAAUUGGGAUCCCAACAUCCUCUUUUAAAUUGUUUCAAGAGGUGACGAUUUGCAUCUGCUGCAUUCACACCAUUUCUUUUAAUAGCAGACCCUGUAGCCUCUGUAGAUAUUCAGAUGCCUUCUCACCUGGAUUUUGGUUUGUGCUCAGGAACUUAGCAAAUAUUUCCUCACCAUCCUCCACAAGGCCGUAAGCAGCAUCAAGCAGUUUUACAUAUUCUCUUGGGUGCGCUGAGUAACCAAGUUGUUUCACGACGUCAGAUGCUGGGGGGAGCAAACUUUCCAGUAUUUUUCUCCGGGUCACAUCGUCUGAAGUGCCAUCAUUAAACAGUAGCUCAACAUGCAGGCCCCAUGUUUCAUAAUCUGCUUCGCCUGGAGGUUUUGGUACUCUUCCUGAGAAUGGCCGUAGCCAUUUUGACUGGCUCUGAGAGGGGGCAGCAUCAUUCCUUAUAACAUGUUCCACCACAAUUCGCUGAAUUUCAGGUGGGUUAGUUACAUCGCUGGUCAGUUUUGGAGGUUUUGUCUCAACCCUUUUUUUAGCCACGUCAGUCUGAAAACUGUUUGAUUUAGGGGGUGGAGGAGAAGGGCAGUUUUCAUUGAGCACAAGAAUGGGCUUUGUGCGUUUUAUUAGAGGAGUGGUACUGUGAUCAGAAGAACUGUCGUCCGUGUCGUCACUCGACUCGUUCAGAGGUAGAUAGGGAUGUUUGUGAGCCAAACUCUACAAUGACAGAUUCUCCCCCUUCCCCUUCUGUGUUCUGCACUCUGAGGAUUCUGGUUACUGCUCCAUAUUUUCUGAAGGAAGCCCUAAUGUCACGGUUAGAAUCUGUUUCAGUGACACCAUUUACACUGAUGGCUCUCGUUACAUCAAUCCCAUAAUACUGGACCAGAUCCAUUUUUUGGGGGGUAUUUUAGACUUACAAAAAUAUGGUUUCGAUAGUAAUUUACAUCUGACAAAACAAAACACCUAAAAGUACUUCACAUUACAUAGUAUCUUCCCUUUUCAACUGCUCCUCCUGGCUGGGCUCGCCACUUUGUAACACUUUGUACUUAUCUGGUAAGGCACCUGUAACAAAGGAAUCGGUGACUAUGAAUCUUUACAAUUAAAUAGCGCAUCAGAACUAGGUUCAACUCAGGAGGAGCGAGGGAAACAAUGUGUUGAACAAAACACAUUUAUUACACAAUUUGACAAUAAUGAAACAGAACAAAAUAGUCAAUGUUUCCUUUUGGUAGUCCUAAGUCAAGUCAGUCGAGUUCAAAAGUUUUUCCUUUCUUUUUUUUUCAGUUCAAUUCAGUUUUCAGAUCUGAAUGUUAUAUGGUAGCUACCCGGGUAGUGUUAAUAUGUGCAAUCCCACCGAUCAAGUGGAACAGAAGAAGGUUCUUCUUUGACGUCGUAGUGGACACAAUCUCAAUCUGCUCUUUUGGAUCCUGGCUCGCCGUUCUUCACACGAUGUCUCUCAACACA